rnacentral:snRNA from 1 species
GGAUGAUCUGGCUGCGACUUCUGUCACUCCAUUGAUGGCCAGGGUUGAUUGGGCUGAUAUGGCUGGCUAGGCAGGUGUCCCCUUCCUCCCUCACCACUCCCUGUGCAUCCAUGCCAAAGCUGCACGCUAGGUCGAAGACGAUGACCUUCCCUGAUAGAGGAGGACCAUUCUUCGGUCAAGAGUAUACGAGUAGCUGCGCUUCCCUACUAGAACCUCCAAACAAGCUCUCAAGAAAUCACACUGGCUUCUAGGUUUGGAAAAUAAGAAGAAGAUUAAGAGGAAGAAGGGAAGGAAGGGGGUGAAAGAAUAACACUGAAAU